GAUGGAAACACCCGCCCACCCGGGGCCGUCCGCGCGGGGAAUCCCAGCGCCCCAAGCGUGUGAGCCUCCGCCAAGCGACCGCAGGACGCCGGGUCUGCACCUUUCCACCGCUUGCCGGGAGACUCGCGGCCUGGAAGCUUCCAGCCACCCGAGGCCGCAGUUUCUCUCGGACGGCGGGACAGCCGCUGGCCGGCAGGCCCAGGCAGGGACUUGGCCUGGCCGCAAAACGCCCUGACCGACCAGCGGUCCAAGGCCCAGUCGCCCGGCGCGCCUGCGCAGCGGUGGCAGGUGGCGCGCGGGGCGCGGACCGCGGGGAGAGCGCGGGGCGGACGCGGCGCGCACGGUGUGCGCUGGGGGCGCGCCGAGCUCGCACAUGCGCGCUGCGUGCUCUAGUUCCUGUCGUGAGCUGAGCUGGAGUUCCGCAGCUGGUAAUUAGGCGCUCUCGGGUCCUCUCCCGCCAUACAGCUAUCGAGCUUUUCUAGAGGAAGAGCUGAUGAAAAGAGUCACAGCUGAAUAGUGGAGAGAAAAAGCCCGGUAUUUAUUGCUUUUGUUUGGCUUUUGGCUACAGAGACAGGAACCUUCUAAUGGGUGUUUCAGCACUAGAAGCAAUGCUUAAAAUUGAAGAAUGGUGCAUUAUUGAAACUCUCUAUCAAACAGCUCUGGGGUGCAGCCUUUCUGAAAACGCCGGCUCUCGAUGAGGUCUGACUGUCUGACUGCACAUAAGCCCCUAAUAUGUUAAUGGCCGUAGGGGAUGCCUAAGGUAAUCUGCUAACAACACAGGAAUUAGGGGCGCCAGCCCCCUGCUCAGUCAAAAAUCUGCAUAUAACUUUUGACUCAGCCAAAACAGAACUACUAAUAGAGGGCUAUUGACCAGAAGCCUUACUGGUAACACAAACAGAAUUUUCUGCCUUCAGUUCAUCAAGGAGCAUGUGAAUUGAAUUGGACACAGAGACAUCCUGUUGUCCAGUUUUCAUCUACAACAUCUGCCAUGACCCAUACUGUCUGCUUCACAAAUGUCAAACAGCAUCUUUCCAGCUCCACUGCUGAUGCCACUCUGGCCACCUGAGAUCACCGCAAGUUCUCCUUGUCUUCCAGAACUCCAGCCACACCACCCGGUCCUAUGCCGCACGCAGACCUGAAGAGCGUGUGGUCUACUCUUCCUACAGGGACUAAUAUGUCUGAAGAAAUGCUGUUUGGAUAAUCAUUGUUCCUGUUCAUCACAUGCAUCGAGAACCAUGCUGAGAAUACCACGAAAUACAGCCUGCGUUACAACAGCAUGCAUCUACUGCUCACAGAGCUGUCUCUGACCGUCGCCCCUUUGUCAGACGUGAGUGACUGCACCUAAAUGGACCGGCUGAAAAAUAGGAGGGGCCCCACUGUCAGCACUGAUAGGAGCUGCAAAGCCUCACAGCCGCCGCUCCUGGGGUCCCUUCCUGCUCUGAAAUCUGCAGCAGUUCCAUCUGGCAGAGUUUUCAAAGUUCUUCCCUGUUUCUUCAUCUUCCGGGGGCCGAACUGCCGUUGGGUCUGACACCUCUCCCAGCCUCCACCUGUUCUCGCCUCACUUUACCUCACAGAUGUGUCCCCUGAUGAACUUCCCUGACGCCUGCUUCUCGGAGGACCUGUAUCGACACGUUGUCUAAUUCAGUCUCCCCAAACUUAGGAGCUAUUGAUGACUAUAAGAAAUUGAGCCUCGGGGAUUUUGAAGUAUGCAUUCAGGUCACCCUGCCAGUGAAUGGCAGUCUUCCAACCCAUCUCCGUCUCUUGACUCGUCUCAUUGUGCCACACUGUCUAGGACAGCUUACUGUACAUGUAUGUUUCUUCUUUAUGUGCUACUUUGCCGGUUGACAAGUUCUAUGGUAGAAAAAGGAAUAGGUAAAGAUUAGCCUACAGCUCUCUGCCAAAAGGGAAAACAAAAAAACAAAACAAAAAAAAGAUCUGGAAGGCAAGUUGUUAAUAUAAAACGUUCACCCUUUUUCUAGAGGAACUUACAAUUUAAGCUUCCCUGUACGUGUCACUGACAGGGAGCUGUCUGGCUACAUGAAUAUGUUGUUUUUCUUUUUUUUUUCUCCCUACACCCCUUUUUAGGUAAUUCAGAGCUGCAAGUGCUGAAUCUAUUUUUCAGAGAUAACAUGCGAAUUUGUGACACUCCCUGUGGAGUUUGAGGUCUAGGAACCUAGGAAGAGAUCACAACGAAACACAAGCAUUGCUUCCAAGUGCUAGAGUGAUUAUUGUCUGGAAGUCUUAGCGUUAUUUAAAAGGCAGCUUCUUCUCAUUUGGAUCAGGCAACGGUGUGUUUUCUGAAGGCGAGAAGGCCUUUCUAUAAAAGCCAGUACAGAGUGGGGCUGCAGGCUGCUUGUGUUGCAGCAGAGGCCAGCGGCAAAAGCCAUGGUAGCCGCUUCAGGGAAGCACCAGCAAGUGGAACCGAUGCCUAAUGAAUGGAGGGCCCAGUGGGGAAGUGAAGAAAACAAAGGGAGACUUUUUUUUUUCCCUCAUUUCCCCCACCCCCACCCACCACUUUUUUAUUCCAGGAAAGAAAAGUAGUUUACUGCGAUUCAUUCCCACACCUGGUGAAGGUUCAAGAGGACAGGGAGCCUGAGGACCUUCACCUGAAUGGCUUCUUGAAAGAUGCUGCGUUCAGAUCUUUGGUGCUAGAAGAACACCGACUCGUCUCCCUCUUUGCUUCGCAGGGCCUCCUUUCAUGUGAUUUAGAAAAUGUAUUCUUCUCAGAGCUACGCCACCGGUCUUGUGCUCCUGCUGCCCAUCCGUUCUCUCUAUUUCUCUGGUCGGGGCCCCAAGCAAGGGCAGGCACCUCGAUCACUGAGUCAUUUCCUCAGACGAGUCUACCGCAGAAUCUUAGCUCUUGGAUGGAGGCCCCCACUGUUGGUCUUCUGCCUCAACAUUCCUUUUAACUGAAUGGUGUCCCGCUUGCCUCUCCAGUUCGUCUCUCGUGGCUUCUUCACACCAAAACAAAAGUGCUUUCCGUUCUAGAAGCUUCCAUUUUCCCUAUGCCACAUGCCUUUGCCCACGCUGUUUCUUCCACCAGUAGCGUCCUGUGCCCCUUGCUAACUCCCUUGCUCUCUGCCCAUUUGGUGCGUGUUUAAUUCCAGGAAGAUGGCGUUCAAGUGAAACCUCCGCGAAGCCUUCCGUGACAUCUCCAAACUCGAUUAAUUACUUCAUUCUCUGCGUGUGUCAGUAAUUUUGUUUAGCGGAAAUUAAUUUUGCCUCUCUGUGAAGAUACAGAUUCACAUUCAGUAGAUUUUCUGAGUGACUACUAAGUGCCUGGCACUGGAAUGAUCACUUUCACAUACAGCACUUUUUGAAUUUCUUUUUGGUGAAGAGACCAGAGAACAUGAGCCUUUUGGAUUGAGAUGCACUAGUAUGGUAUUGUGAAAUUACUCUUGACUCUUCAGAAGAAGGAAUGGGUAUACAUAUGAGGGGCAUUUUUAGUCACUUCUAAUUUGAUAAAAAAACAACACAACAAAAUCUUCGUUGUUCGAGGUCUCUGACUUCCCCAGAAGUUUUGAGGAAAAUCGUGAACCCCGCUUCCAGUGACCCUCUGCCACACGAGGACACAUAUUAAUGAUCUCUGUAGGUCUCUUUGGAAGGUGCAUUAUGUUAUCACACUUGCCGUGAGCUCUGGGGGCCUCCAGACUCCUUGAGUGGCAGCAGGCAUAGGCCCUGCCCCGUCCCAUUCUGCAUGGCCACCUGAGCCAUGAGCAACCCAAUCUCAGUCACUCCUUCUUGUAAAGUUGUAAGUAACAGCCAGCAUAUCUGCAGAAUGCAACAAGUACCACUGUUUAAUGUGUAUAGGAUUUUUGACAUGCUAAUUACAUCCUGCUCCAAGCCGUGAGGCGUAGGUGAUCAGCUCUGUGAAACAAUCAACAGUCGGAAAAAUAGCUUUUAUUUUUCACUGAGAUGACUGUGGAAAAACAUUUUUUGCUGUUGAUAACUCUGCUUUUAGUUGAAAACACAGAGCACAGGCUGGUAAACUAUAGCCUAUGAGUGAGCCCGUUCUGUUGUUUCUUUUCACACAUAAAGGUUUAUUGGAACACAGCCAGGCCACGUGCUUACAUAUUGCCCGUGACUGCUUUCACAUUAUAAACACAGAGUUGAGUGGUUGCAGAGAGGUUGGAUAACCCACAGAGACUAAACUACUCACUGCUUCGUCCUUUGCAGAAAAAGUGUGCCAAUCCCUGACACGGCAAUGCAGAGUUCUUCCAGAAACCAUCAAGGCAAACUCUCCAACAGCAAGUCCUUACCAAAAGCCUGAUUGCAAGAAUAUUUUUCUCUCAGAUCUUAGUAUCAAGAAAGUUGGGCUUGCUCUUGAGCCACUGCAGUGUGCAGUAGUCCUCGACGUUCCCACUCGAUCAGAUUGUGAAAUAAGACUCAGACACCACUCCUUGCUUGGAGGGAAUGUACGGGCUCUGACCACUGAUGCCUGCAGGAGUCUGGCAGGAAACUACAUACACUACCUGCAGGGUUAUUUUGUCCUUAAAGAUUUGGGUAAAAUACUAGCAUAUUUUGGCAUAUAGCGGCAGCACCGAACAAAGGACUGGAUUUGGAAAUGGAAGUCACAGAUUCUACUCUCAGUUCUGCAUGUAAAUAACCAUGUGAUUUUAGGCAAAUCACUCCUUGUAUGAUGAUUAGAGAUUAUAAACCUAAACUACCAAGAGUGAGAAUAUUUGUGGGAGUUCUUUGUUUCUAGAUAAAAGUACAGUAUUAUCACUAGAGUUAUUUAUAUAUGUGAUGAUAGUGGCAUAGAGCACACAUGAAAUCAUAAACACUUCUCUACUAGGGAAUUAAACGGUGUUAGUAGCUUCAAUAACAGAAAGAUGCACUUUCAAUUGUAUUCCUUUUGAUUUGGGCCUCAUAGAAAUAGAUAAGUUGAGGUGUUUAAUGUCUUUUUUCUUUAUUUGUUUUUUGUUCUACCCUGAGAAGCAAUUUUGCUCACAAAGAGAAUAAAAAUGAAGGACUUGAGGAGAGAACAAGAAGUUUGGAAUAAGUAAUAUAAGGAAUGUACAGUGGAGAUGCUUGGUGUACAUGUAUGAAAUGUUAAGUAGACUGAAAACCCCAGUUGUGUGUAACGUACAUGGAUUAAUUAGCAUAUUUCAUUUUUUUCAUUAUUAUUACUAUUUUUGUUGACACUAUCCAGUACUCUGGACACAGGAGCAGAGACACAAGCGAUAUGCAUUCAUACAAGACUGAUUAUUAUCCAGAGGAAUUCAGGAAAAGAAAAACAAGAUAAAUAUAUCAAGGGUUUUGGAGACAGAAUUAUUUGCUUGAUAAACAAGGUGUUUCAGGAAUAAUGGAAAAGGAAAUGGGGAAUGAAGGUCCAAAGGAGACUGAUUUUCAUAGAAAAUGUCUAUAUACUUUAAUAAUUAUCUUUUUGUGAGAAUCUGUGAGUGUUAAACUCUUUUAGUCUCUGAUGUCUGAAGAGGUCUGGUUAUGACAGUUUAGGUGGGUAUAAAACUGCAGGCUUACUGAUUUCCUCCUUAAAAUUUAAGAAAGCCAUUGUAUUCUGGCAUAUAUUUUUGCUGAGGGGGAAAUAUAUUGUCUAAUUGUUGUUCUUUGGUUGGUAGGUUGGUUUUUUCCUCUGGUAACUUUUACGAUUUUAUCCUUAUCCUUGGUAUUCUUCAGCUUUCUCUCAUGUGAUGAGGCAUGGAGUUAUUUUAUUUAUGUUGGAACCCAGGUAUUCCUUCAAUUUUGGAAAAUUCUUGACCGUAUCCCUUUAAGUAUUGUGUUUCUAACAUCUUUUUCUGAAGUUAGAUAUAUGUUUAAGACUCUCAUUCUAUCCUCUAUGACUUUUUGAAGGUUUUUCUUUUCUUUUUUUCUUUAAAUUUUUUUUAACAUUUAUUUAUUAUUGAAAGACAGAGAGAGACGGAGCAUGAGCGUGGGAGGGGCAGAGAGAGGGGGAGACACAGAA